rnacentral:rRNA from 1 species
UGGGGAAUCUUGGACAAUGGGGGCAACCCUGAUCCAGCGACGCCGCGUGGGUGAUGAAGGCCCUAGGGUUGUAAACCCCUUUCACCGGGGAGGAUGAUGACGUUACCCGGAGAAGAAGCACCGGCUAACUCCGUGCCAGCAGCCGCGGUAAGACGGAGGGUGCUAGCGUUGUUCGGAAUCACUGGGCAUAAAGGGCGCGUAGGCGGCCUGGUUAGUCAGAUGUGAAAGCCCAGGGCUCAACUCUGGAACUGCAUUUGAUACUGCCAGGCUCGAGGUCGAAAGAGGAGAGUGGAAUACCCAGUGUAGAGGUGAAAUUCGUAGAUAUUGGGUGGAACACCAGUGGCGAAAGCGGCUCUCUGGUUCGAACCUGACGCUGAGGCGCGAAAGCGUGGGGAGCAAACAGGAUUAGAUACCCCUGUAGUCC